rnacentral:lncRNA from 1 species
GGGCCGCUCGUGCAUGCAUCUCCACCGGGCUCGACGGCACCAUCGUCGGCUGUCGCCACCUCGUGCACUGUGCCGCCUUUCUUUCACGUGUAUCUUCUCCGUUUGGACUCCAUUUGGGCUGUUCUUGGGCUCGUUGGACUCCAUUCAUCAUCCUAGACCUCACUGUGGGCUCAAUAUGGAUCAAAUCUUAAGGUGUAUUUCUUAACAGGUUAAGGUUCCAAUCUAAUGCCAUAUGAGUCGAAGAUCCAAAGUAGGACUCUUGGUCCUUCUGCACGCCA